AACGCACCUUGCGCUCCUUGGUAUUCCGAGGAGCAUGCCUGUUUGAGUGUCAUGAAAUCUUCAACCUACAAGCUUUUUAAUGGGUUUGUAGGCUUGGACUUGGAGGCUUGUCGGUCUUUAUUGGUCGGCUCCUCUCAAAUGCAUUAGCUUGGUUCCUUGCGGAUCGGCUUGUCGGUGUGAUAAUGUCUACGCCGCGACCGAGAAGCGUUUUUGGGCGAGCUUCUAGUCGUCUCUGUAUAGAGACAAUCUUAUGACCUCUGACCUCAAAUCAGGUAGGACUACCCGCUGAACUUAA
rnacentral:misc_RNA from 1 species